GUGGCGCGUUGGCCGCGGCGGCCAGGCUGCUGGGUGUCGCGGGGGCGGCGGCGGGGGCGCCGGGGAGCUCUCGGGGAGCGGGGCGCCGGAGGAGGAGCCGCUCCGAGGGGCCCACCCGCGAGCAGCGGGGAAGGCGGGGACCCGGGCCCCGCGGGCCUGCAGCGCCCCCGCACCCGGUUCCACGCGCCCAGGGCCGCCCCCGCGGAGAGAGGGGGCGCGAGGGGCGCGCCUCUCGCUCGGACACCCUCUCCCAGCUCGCGCCCCAGGUAACUUAAACCCAAUUAUAAAUGGCUUUGGCUAUAAAGUGUUCUUGAAUGAAAACGUUUAGGAAGUAGGCCUGGAUUCAGAUGCUUCAGAGGCUCAAAGGAAACAGGAAUCGUGGCUAACCAAAUCCAGCCCAACUGCUUCCUUGUUCACAUGGGGAAAUCGAGGAAGGCCCGGGGAGAGGAAGGCCUGGGGAGAGGAAGUUACUUGCCCAAGUUGCCCAGUUAAUUAGCCACAGAACCCAUGUCCCCCAACUCUGAAACAAGUUCCAGUUAAAGUCUUCACUGAUAACUUUAAAUCCUCCACUAACCAAGGGAGUCAUCUUUGCAUUUGCACAGAGGAGAUGGGAAAAUCACAAAGCCCUUAAGGUCCAGAAGAAAUGAGUGUCACUACGUUGGGCUCCCAGGCUGUGCAACAAGCUGUGGACGGAGAUGUCCGGGCAGGGAGCCCGGUCCAGCUCCCCACCCAUCGCAUCAUGGAGUCAGCCGUCUCCUCUGGGGACUGCACCCUCUGGGUGCUGAGAAAUCCAAAUGGCUCUUUCUCAUGCAGCCGCCCCAAGUGGGCAGGAUGGCCCUUCUCUUGAUUUGUUUCCUGCUUACUUUGUGAGAGUCAAAGUGCAUCCUUCAGGACCAAAGUGGCCAAGGGGCCAGCAUGUUAUUUAGAGUGAUCAAAAUGGACCAUUUUCAACUUGGCCCUAUUUCAGCUCCAGAGCUGUGGUUUCCACUUGCUUUUACUUAUCUGUAUUUUCUAACAUUUCUUUAGCAAAUUUGUAUUACUUUGGCAAUUAGAAAAAAUGACCAGUAAUUUUUAUAAAAGGAUUUGUGUUUGAUUUCCUUUCAGAAAGGCACUUUCAUUUAUUAAAAGAUCACAAUGAGAAGUGAAAUUAAGUUGAUCUUUCUCUCUGGCAAGGAUGUGUGGGGAGGAAUGGGGAGGUGAAUGCUGGGAGCAGAAGCCACAGCUGCAGAGCACUGCAGUGAGUGAAGGCUAGAUCAGGAGACUGGACCAGGAGGCUGGACCAAUUGGCUCUGUGGUCCUAGGCAAGUCACUCAGUGUCUCUGGGUUUCUAUUGCUAGAUGUUUGGUUUCAUUAUUUCUGGAGUUCUUUCCAGGAAUUCUCUGUAUGGAUACAGUCUUUGAGCUUUAGUGAACGUUCAUAUACGCUGUAGGAGAACAUGUAAUGGCUCAGAAAUGUGUUCAGCAUAAAUUCUGUUUGUCUUUGCGGUCCUGUGAGACUGCUGAAAGUUCUGCUCAGCUUCUCUGCUUCUUAGCAUUUGGUUUCUUCUCAGCUUCUCAGUCUCUCCGUUUAGCUCUUUAUGAAUUGGCAAAUUCAUGGAAAAGAGCACAUAGAAUGUCAGGCCCCUGCUCCAUUCAUUUCUCUUCACCCUGAGAUCUUGAUCCCUCAAGUUCUGGCUUCCUGGAUAGCUCUUUCGUGCCUUCUAACAGAUUUUUAUUUUCUUUGAACAAUUCUACCCAGGUUUUCUAAUUGUUUAUGGAGAAGAUUGAUCUUCACAAGCUAGUUUUUUCAUAGGCAAAAGCAAAAGUCUCUUCCUGUGUUAUUAAGUGAAAAUGGCUGAUUAUAAAAAGGGGCUUACAAACAAUAUUUAACAAAUCUUCAUCAAGUCCCUACUCUGUGGCAGGCCCUGGGUCAGGAGGUUGCCGAUUCCAGGAAGAAUCAGACCUUAUCCCUGCCCUUGAGUCUCAAGAAGAGGAAAGGAAAACAAAUAAGCAUAGUACAGUGUGAAAAGUGGGACUGUGGUCAAAUUUCAGUCUGCAAACUCAGAAUGGAUGAAAUAUGAAAGACUGACAACAUCAAGUUGUCAAGUAGGACAGGAUGUGGAACCACUGGAACUCAUACGUGACUGAUGGGAAUGCAAAAUGAUACCGAUCCCUUGGAAAACUCCUUGGCAACUUUAAUAAACAUAAAUCUACCCUAUGAUCCAGAAAUUCCACUCUGAGUCACGUCUCCAAGAGCAAUGAAAAUAUAUACCCACAAAAGACUGCACAUAAAUCAGAACAGCAUUGUUGAUAAUAGCCCAAACUGGAAACAACCUAAAUAUUCACCAAUAGAAGCCUGAAUAAAUUCAUACUGUGGGAUACUCUACAGCAAUGAGGUAGAUGAACUAUUACUGCCUACAACAACAUGAAAGAAAGUAAAAGUCACUACUUUGAUAAUUAUAAACACAAAAAAGUAAACAUAUCAUUCUAUUCAUAUGAAGAGUUAUCUAAAUAAUUAGUAAAAUUGAUCUAUGAUUUUAGAAGUGGUACCUCUGGAGGAGAAGGAGGGGUACUGUUACUGACUGAGAAGGGAGUUCUGGAAAAAUUCUAUACUUUGAUCUUUGGGAUGGUUACACAGAUGUAUAGACAGGCAAAAAUUCAUUGAACUUUACAUUUAUUAUUUGUACAUUUUACCAUAUGCAAAUUGUCCCUCAAUUUAAAAAAUCUCAUUUUCCUUAAAAAAACACAGAGGCAAACAUUUCAAAAACAAUAUCUCACCUUAGAUGAGAU
rnacentral:lncRNA from 10 species